UUGAAAGGGAAACGAUUGAAGUCAGUCGUACCUAUGGGUAAUCAGCCUUUUGGGUGUGAUUUUGUGGAGCGUGAGGAGUUAAACGCCUUCAUGCCUGCAUAUUCGUGCACUUUGGGUGUACUUGCCCGUAUGGUUGGUUAACAUCAAUUUUGGUGGUCAUAAAAUGACUGGAGGAAUGUAGCUUCGAUCUCGUAUUGAAGUGUUAUAGCCUUCGGUAGAUGUGAUGAUCGAGAUUGAGGAUUGCAACGGAUACCCUUCGGGGCCACCUGUCUGAUCUCUGAUCGUUGCUCUGGUGCCGAAAGCUUGCUUACGGUUAUCAAAGUCGAUGGUCAAUAGGUUAGAACGGGUUAAAUUCGUUAAGGAUGUUGACGUA
rnacentral:rRNA from 1 species